CAGCACGGGAGCAAUCCUGGUGGCGAGUGGCGAACGGGUGAGUAAUACAUCGGAACGUGUCCUGGAGUGGGGGAUAGCCCGGCGAAAGCCGGAUUAAUACCGCAUACGCUCUACGGAGGAAAGGGGGGGAUCUUCGGACCUCUCGCUCAAGGGGGGGCCGAUGGGAGAUUAUCUAGUUGGGGGGGUAAAGGCCUACCAAGGCGACAAUCUGUAGCUGGUCUGAGAGGACGACCAGCCACACUGGGACUGAGACACGGCCCACACUCCUACGGGAGGCAGCAGUGGGGAAUUUUGGACAAUGGGCGCAAGCCUGAUCCACCAAUGCCGCGUGUGUGAAAAAAGCCUUCGGGUUGUAAAGCACUUUUGUCCGGAAAGAAAUCCUUUGCCCUAAUACGGCGGGGGGAUGACGGUACCGGAAGAAUAAGCACCGGCUAACUACGUGCCAGCAGCCGCGGUAAUACAUAGGGUGCAAGCGUUAAUCGGAAUUACUGGGCGUAAAGCGUGCGCAGGCGGUUCGCUAAGACAGAUGUGAAAUCCCCGGGCUUAACCUGGGAACUGCAUUUGUGACUGGCGGGCUAGAGUAUGGCACAGGGGGGUAGAAUUCCACGUGUAGCACUGAAAUGCGUAGAGAUGUGGAGGAAUACCGAUGGCGAAAGCAGCCCCCUGGGCCAAUACUGACGCUCAUGCGCGAAAGCGUGUG
rnacentral:rRNA from 1 species